AAGACUAUAUUUUCAGGGAUUAUUUCUAUAGUAUGAGACUAGAGAAUUGUGGCUGAAAGUGUAGCACGGAGGUAACCACGAGGAGGAGCUGGAGCGUUCUCUUCUGAGCGUGAAGCUGGCUUGUGUUGCUGUUUCUCAGCAGCUGUCACUUGCCAUUGAUGAUCGUUUUUUCCUCCCUUCUGGUUGGGUGAGAGGAAGGGAACGCAGGCUGAGUGGC
rnacentral:snoRNA from 1 species